rnacentral:rRNA from 1 species
CUGCUGCCUUCCGUAGGAGUCUGGGCCGUGUCUCAGUCCCAAUGUGGCCGUCCACCCUCUCAGGCCGGCUACUGAUCGUCGCCUUGGUAGGCCGUUACCCUGCCAACAAGCUAAUCAGACGCGGGUCCAUCUUACACCACCGUGGUUUUCAAGGAAAACACAUGCAUGUUCUCCUGUUAUGCGGUAUUAGCACCUAUUUCUAAGUGUUAUCCCCCGGUGUAAGGCAGGUUGCCCACGCGUUACUCACCCGUCCGCCACUAAAA